rnacentral:rRNA from 1 species
AGCAGUCGCCGCGGUAAUACGUAGGUGGCAAGCGUUGUCCGGAAUUAUUGGGCGUAAAGGGCUCGCAGGCGGUUUCUUAAGUCUGAUGUGAAAGCCCCCGGCUCAACCGGGGAGGGUCAUUGGAAACUGGGAAACUUGAGUGCAGAAGAGGAGAGUGGAAUUCCACGUGUAGCGGUGAAAUGCGUAGAGAUGUGGAGGAACACCAGUGGCGAAGGCGACUCUCUGGUCUGUAACUGACGCUGAGGAGCGAAAGCGUGGGAAGCGAACAGGAUUAGAUACCCCCGUAGUCCCUGUCUCUUAUAC